GCCGAGGGAAGUGGCCAUCCUGCUGCACAUGGUGCUCCCCGUCCCUGCGCGGCGGCCGGCGGCUAUGUAGAGCGCUGUAUUAGCUCACAGCCGCUCACCACUGCCAGCCGCCCGCGCACGCCGCUCACCAUCCGCCCGCUGCUCCCGCUCACCAGCCGGCCGCCGGCCCCGCUCACCAGCCGCCCGGUGCCAAGUCACUGCUGCCAGCAUCAAAUAAGAAAUGUCUCUAGACCAAGAAUGAGAUUUCAUCUCAGGUUUCCUGGACCUCUACAAAGCACAUACAGUACUGUAAGUGUCUCUGGUUGGAAAAUUCACACACCAAUAAAAUCAAGCGCAAUCAAGCUUAUGAAGAGCUCGCCAGCUGCUGCAAGUCACACCAUGAUACGGUGUCAGUCCUCUGGGUUCGCAAAAGAUUCAGAAUCUCCGGACUGUUUUCCUCAAAGAACAUAAAAAGAGAGAACAGUCAAAAAGGUCAGGAGCUGGGACCAAUGAUUUAUACCAAACCAAUCUGUGGUAUUAUUACCAACUAUUUUUUACAGUGCAGUAGGAACCAGUCUGGAAAUCUCUGGUCCUCAUGGCCGAGGCUGAUGGCCGAGGCUGAAGAGGGCGGUGCGGAGGAAGAAGAUUUUAUUAUUAUUUAUUGCCAGUUAUUUAAAUAGUGCACACAUAUUCUGCAGCGCUUUACAGAGAAUAUUUGGGCAUUCACAUCAGUCCCUGCCCCAGUGGAGCUUACAAUCUAUUUUCCCUACCACAUAUAUACGCACACACAUUCACACUAGGGUUUCUUUUGUUGGGAUACAAUUUACCUACCAGUAUAUUUUUGGAUUGUGGGAGGAAACCGGAGUACCCGGAGGAAACCCACGCAAGUACGGGGAGAAUAUACAAACUCCACACAGUUAGGGCCAUGGAGGGAAUAGAACCCAUGACCUCAAUGCUGUGAGGCAGUAAUGCUAACCAUUACACCAUCUGUACUGCCCAAAUCUGAGUGAAUCACCUGAAGCCUCAUUGGUAAGUAGAGACUCAGCAAUCUCAACUGGCAGAAAUGAAAAAUUUGUUCCACAGUCCCCUCUACUUUCCCCUCACUUUAUUGUAUGUACUCCUCCUGCCACGUCACCGCACACGCACCGUCUUCAUUGAAGUAGGCCAUAUAUUCCUCUCUGACCCUUUUAGCCAGAGCAGUCCCGGUUUCUGACACUUGUGGUACCACCACUGAGGGGAACUGAGCAACCUCUUCUGGAUGGUCUGGGUCUUCCACCACAGCUGUGCCCACUGUCCUCUGCUGGGUGGCUUUCUUGUGCAGGAAGUUGUGCAGGACACAGCAUGCAGUGACAACCCAGUCAAUCUUCUUAAUCUUCAAAAUAAUUGCAGUAUGAAGAUCCGGAAUCAGUUGCUCAAGAUCCAAAAGGCAUUCUUGACAAUGCGCCUCAUCCGAGACAGGUGGUAAUUGAAGCACCGCUUCUCUUUAUUGAGGAACCUUUCUGGGAAUGGCUUCAUUAUAUGCUUGUGAAGGGCAAAGACCUCAUCGGCAAUGAAGACCAAGUUUAGGCUGUGUUUCGUUGCCUCUCUAAACGGCAAAAUGCUGGGUAUUUGUGGUGAGUCGGUCGUAGAACCACUGUCAGAGGCACGUUCUUCCCCACAUCUACAAAUAGAAUCUCAUAGUUGGCGUUCACCGCCGCCAUUAUAACAUCUCUGAAGUACCCCUUGUAGUAAUAGUAGUACAACCCACUGUUGGCAGGUGGGGUAAUACGAAUAUGCUUGCCAUUGAUAGCUCUUCAGCAGUUAGGGAACUACCAAUGGCUGUCAAAUUCAACCCCAAUGGCUAUUCACUCUCUAAAAGAAAAGAAAAAAUUAUGUAUAUUAAUACAUGAAAUUGUGUUGGUUUUUUUGUGUGUCUUUUGACAGAUACCAAUUACACCUGACAUUCCCUGCACCCUGGACCUGAGUCCGUCUCCUAUGCAAACCACCCCCACGCCAAAGAAAAAAUGACAACAAAAAAAACAACACACAGGUGGAGGACCCUCUACUACUGCAGGCCAGAGAGGCAUUAUUUAAGCCACCGGACACUGACACUUUUGCCUCCUUAGUGAGCCCUGCACAUAGAGGCUUGUAUGCUGAUUAAAAAAUACAAUUUGAAA